rnacentral:tRNA from 1 species
CGAGCGAAAGCUCAGCUGGUAGAGCAUCUGCCCGGUGCGCGGAGGGUCGCCGGUUCGACCCCGGCUCGCCGC